CUUGGGAAAUCCGCAGCUCUUCGUUCCGCAGGAUAUAUCCCAUCGUAUGUCUGAGCACAGCCUUCCGGAACCAUGAGGAAGACAGAGCUGAAGCACAGGCUUGGCCUUUAGAUGUCAGCUGGGAAAUCAUGAGAGCCUGAGCACCCUGCCUCAAAGAGUUGGCUUUCACCGUAACAGGAAUACUCCAGGAUUCUGAUAUGUGCUGAGAUCUCUGAUGCCAGGCACUACUUGCACAGAAACUUAGGGAAUCCCACCACAUAGGCAAGACCCACGUGUACAGAGAAGAUACAGCACUGUUUCCUCUUGGAAUCUGGGAACAGAGGAGAGAACAAAUGUCCUUUUCCAGCCUGAAUGGAUGUGGACUUUGUGAUUUAGCCAUGUGCAUCAGCCACCUCACAUCUAGCUUGUGCUGAAGAGAAGCCCCAGUGCCAAAGUGGGAAACUCCAGCUGCUUCCAGAGCAGGUAAGGGAUCCUCUGAUAGUGACCGUUUUAGGCAUAACUUGUCCAUCUCCUGGCCCCUCAGCUCUUGAGGGGACCAUGUGUCUAUAGGUAACAAGAGUGAGGUUUGAACGUUGUUGAAGCACAUUUUCCUGCCUCCUUCUUC